rnacentral:antisense_RNA from 1 species
AUUUAUAAGCAUGGAAAUCCCCUGAGUGAAACAACGAAUUGCUGUGUGUAGUCUUUGCCCAUCUCCCACGAUGGGCUUUUUUUUAA